CGUUAUCUCUCAGCUCAUAAAUCUUAAUGUGUAAUAGCUCAAUCCAUAUGUUUCCAUAAGUUUUGAGACAGAAGGGCAGAGAAAACAUCAAGUAGGCUCUGUCACCUAACUCUGUUUAUUUAACCACUCUCAUGUCCACACUGCAUUAUGAUUUACUUUACAGAUCAGUUUACACUGCAGCAAUGUUGUUAAUAGCCUUUUCCAGUCCUGUGAACUCCGUCCUCCUCUUCCCUGCUCUGUCCUUCAUUGCUGUGGGAGGAAUUCUGUUCUUGGUGACCAACAUACAGGUGGGGAAUCUCUUUGGCACUCACCUCUCCACUAUAAUCACUCUGUAUAAUGGAGCCUUUUACUCUUCCUCUGCAGUUUUCCUCAUCAUCAAGGUAAGAGGCAAAUAAAACACUUACAUUAGACAAUGAUGGAAAGAUAAGAUAGCUGGUGAGAUCUUGAAUCAUGAUCGUCACAUCUAUAUCUUUUAGCUGCUGUAUGAGAAUGGAGUCUCUCUGCGAAGGUCUUUCCUUUUUUUGCCUGCUGCUGUGUCAUUCCUCUGUUCCGGACAUUUAUGCUGAUGUCUCGUACACAUAUCCCAUACCCGCUUCCAGGGAACUA